CUACUGGUUUUGUGGAUUGAACAUUGAAGCUUUUGUGGAUUGAACUCAUUGAGGAAUGAAGGUUGCAGACUGGAAAUGAGGAAAUCAGGAUGGAAGUACUUCUGGUCUUCUGGACUCCAUUAUUAGAGUAGCUAAGCUACAAUCUAACGCUUAUUGCUUUCCAAGGUGUUAGAGACUUAGA